UCCAAGUACGAGCAUAGCAAGGUGGCAGGCACAGUUGUUACUACUGGUAAAAAAAAAUAAGAAUAGAAAAUCCAAAAACUAGAGUGAACGGUAUAUAAAAAGGAAACGCAAAUCAGUUUAAAUCAAAUUGAAAAAAAAAAACAUAACGGAAAGAAGAGAGAAACGGAUAUAUAUAUAUAUAUAUGUACAUGAUAUAUCUUGUAUAUAUAUAUAUGUAGAUCAAUUUCGAGACACACCGACAUCUGGCGGCGGAUACUGAACCUAGAUGUGUGCAAGACUGAAUAAUAGAAACGUAGAAAAAGAAAGAAAAAUAGUAAAGAAAGAAAAAUCAAAGAAUGACGGUAUCUCGAUAGAGAGAUCGCGCGAUACACCGACGCAAUGCCGAAUUCUAUCUCUCUUUGCUUGGAAAUUUUCCCUCCAUCUCGGUCAGCGAUACGACGGUUAUCUAAGUUAUCUUUCAUCGCGCCAUAUUUCUUUUCCUCCCGCGCGCGCUCACUUUCAAACGUGUCAACGACUUUCCUCUUUUCUGCCUCCUCUUUUUUCUUCUUUCUCGUUUUGAAAACUUUUCUGUGGUUCAGAUACUCGUCCGUUUCUCAUUCUCGAAUAAAAUAACAUGUUCUCGAACGAUUUCAAAUGAUCUCUUGAUUCUUGUUCUUUUCAAAACGUUCGUAUAAAAUUGAAACACUCGAACCGCGAGGUUAUGCGAUAUUAAUCGAAGGAAAUUUUUCGCUGUCUUCUAAUUUUUAAGAAAUUAUUUCCGGUUUUUGACGUGAACAAUGGACGGAUACAGACGAAUCGAUUUUCUCCAAAAGAGGGUUUCUGUCGUGUUCUGGUAUGAGAUAUAACUUUCGGUGGGUAGAUAGCACGGAUCGGUUAAAGACAGACACAGGGCUUUUGGUGUAACGGGGUUAUUGGCACAUUGUAGACAGGUGAUAACAGACGUAGACAAGGGACAAGAGAGGGAAUGGUCGUUCGGGUCCUUCGUAUCAUAUCCUGUAUCAUAAAGCUGUGUGUUGAACGGUUCCGAUUUCGUAAUUAUUGCCGAUCCGUCGAUUCGGAACAAUAUAACGUGAUGUGAACACGUUUUCUCAUUCUCGUUUUCAUCGUUUAUAUAUAUAUAUAUUUUAUUUGAUUUUGUACCACGAUUUUGUAUCUCCUCUACCGCAUAUGUAUGUAUAUAUAUAUAUAUGUUGAUAAUGAUGAUGUAUAAUAUUUUAUAUCAUCAAUUUAUCUCGACAAACGACGGAAAGGAACAAUUGAACAAAAAAAUGGAACGCAAGAAUAUAUAUGUCUUUGACGCAAGAGGCGCGCAAUAAAGUCAGCGUUCGUGUAUAAGAUGCUAGGGGACAAAAAGUCACUAGAAACAAAUUCGACAAGGGGUUAUGAAAUACACAACGUACAUAAAAAAGUGCAAGCCUGGCAACACAAAAAACAACACAAGACCAGACAGGAUAUAUAUCGUUACGUAAAAAAUUACACGAUUCUCAAACAUACUAUUACUUGGUUUGUAGCCGGUUACGGUAUAUAUCAGGGCGAUCACAGUAAUAGUAGCUAAGAACUCAGCGCUAAACAGGACAAGAUGACAAUACAUAAACAGAACAACAGAGAAGGAAAGAAACAGAAUAAAGAGAGAAGUAGAGAGAAGGGCGGACAACGGCAGGAUUAUAGACAACGAUCAUCCGACGACAUAUCACAGAUAACACAGAGACACUUCGAUACGAUUAUACUUUCAAUGUAGGUGUGAAGAGAGUGCUCGACCCUUUGGCUGUGGCGAUACGUUCACGCGAUUUCGAUUGAUUUUAAAUUUUCCUCGUUUGAAGGCUAUCGGUAAAGUAGAUUCGUUUUGUUAUCGACCCGUCAAAGUCCCUAGAUUAAAGGCGAAACAAAUGCGAUUUAGUUUUCGAAUUUUGGUAUCGUUACAGGGCUACAACUCAACUGCUAAACGAAUCAGCGUAAAUUUUGUUCGAUUAUCAAAUACUGGAAUUCCCUGUGUCGUACAAAAGUGAUAUUAACGAAGGUGGACCAUCGAACCUCGUCGAAAUUUGUUUUUCACGCGAACAGUAAGCGGCAGCCGUCGAGUCGGAGAUGACAGAAACAAAUACGCAGGUAGACAGGUAAAAAGGUAGCGACGGAACUAAAAAAUGACAGAGCGACAGAAUGGAAAGAAGAGAGGAAAACGAUAGACAGGCGAUUAAAAACGGAGUAUAGAGGGGUUGAAAGGGCGGAGAGACGAGUCAAAUAAGCGAGGUAUGAUCAAACACUGGCAAACAUAAUUGGUAACGUAACUGAAUCGAUAACAGGCCGAACCAGGGUCGAUAGAAUAGAAGAAAUAUAAAGAGCUUUGAAAAAGACCAACAGGGAAUAUACAUAGAGUAGUAUAGAGACAAAAACAAUAACUGAAACGGAGAAAGAGAGAAAAAGAGAGACGUGAUACGCAGGCUAAGGGUAUGAACAUACGUAUACAUAUAUAGAUAGAUUACAUAUAAUGGGACAUACGAAAAAACAUGUAAGAUGAAUGUUACGAGCGAAACGAGCAAAUAGAAGCGAGAGAGCUUGAGCUGCAACUUACCGCGGUGUAAAGGAACUCCAGAACGUACUACGUGUGGGAAAAAACCAACGAGAAGAAAGGGCGUUACCACGGUCACAGAACCCGCGUUUGCGGGCAAAAAAACGGACGCGCGUACGCAGCAUUGCGCGAGCAAUCGUCUAUUUCGCAUAAUCAUACCUUAUUGACUUUAUUCCCUUUUUCUUGCAUCGUUUUUCAUUUAUGCAUUUCAAAUUUUCGCGCCAUCGCGGCAUAACCGUUUCGAUAUAGCGAACCUCGAUUCCCUCUCAACGAUUAUUUCGAUCGGAGGUUAACUUCCGAAGGUUCAUCCCCACUACACGACCCUAGACAUCUCCCCCACCCCAUUGCACGUUCGCGCCAAGUUUGAUCGUGUACGCGCGAAUCUCGCGGCGAAAAUCGAAUGCUCUAUCGCAAUGUUCCGCACGCCGUUACAGAAACAAUAGACGUAGACACACACUAAUCAAGCGUACCCAUCACACACGCGAUCUUCGCCAGUCACGCAACAUGAACGCAGUCACUCACAGACUCAUCCAACAUAGAGUGGUAAUACACGUGACAGACACAAGUUGGAAACUACGCACACACAUCUGUAUAUAUACGACGAUUAUACACGUGUAUAUAAUAUAUAUAUAUAUGUAUGUAUAUAUAAUAAUAUCCAUAUAUAAGUAAAUAUAUAUAUGUAUAUGUAAUAUAUAAAGGCAGAGUAAAGAGAGAAAGAGAUGGAGAGCUCCAGCGCGUCUUCGCGUGAUCGAUGCAUUUGGAACGGGUACUGCACACGCGUUAACGAGACAUGGCCGUCGUCGUUUCGUUUGGAAUCCAACAUUGACGUCGAUUCGAGAUUCGUCCCGUAUCGAGGGAGUCACGAGUAACGGGUGUCGCACGAAGGAUCCUCUUAUCGCGUCGCUCAUCGAAGCCGAGCCUCGAACUGACAAUGAGGAGAGAUUCCAUCGGAGCUUGGACUGCCAUGUUGGCAGACGAUCUUCGAAUAUUGAUUACGCUCUGUCCGAGCAAUCCCGAUGCCAACCUGAAUUUCUGAUUCACCGGGAUACUUGUAUGCAGUCUGUACGCUCGAGAUUCCAUUGAAAGUGGUGGGGAGAAUUAGCGUUCUCUGGGUCGUUUCUAAUGAAACGACCCUUCUUUCUUUCUUUCGCUUUACGAAUGAUUCAAAUUAAUUUCAUACUAUGAUACAAACAAGCAAGUCCUACUCUACACCUUUUAAUUUUAUAUUUUUUUUCAGAAAGGAAAAAGUAGUUACCGUAGUAUGAUUGGAAAACGGUGAUUCUAUGUAGAGAUAAAUCAAAGUUAAGAAACGAGUAUGCUUCGCCUUGGCGGGAAUUUUGAAUAUUGAUAUUGAUUGAUCGAUGGUUGAAUAUUUGAUAGAAGUUAUCUAAUUGAUCGUGACUAUCCUGAAUUUUGAACUAAUAAAUGUUGAUAUUAAAUGUACUUCGAAACGUUAUAAUUGAUUGUAACUCAUUUAUAAAAGCUUGAAAAAAUGAUAGAAGAUGAUUCUGUUAAGUUUAACGAAAUUCGUGCAUUUGAUUUUAUGCAUGUAAUUAUAUAUUGCCACCAUUUUUAAGCGAAUUUUAUUGUCAACUCCACAAAUUAUUAUAUUUGUGGAAAUGUAUCAAAGAUAAAUGUUAAAAAGCAAGUAAUUCACAAGGGGUUUCAUGUUUUACAUCAGCAUUCAAAUGUUUGUCAUAAAAAGAACAAAUAGGGUCAAAUAAAAUUCCUUCAUGUAAUAUGCAUCAAUAAAUAUAUGAAAUUUUGAAAUAGAA